CAGACUUUCGGCAUCGGAAAUUUGGGUUCUGGCUUUGUAGAAAAACGUAGGGAAAUACGUUAAUUGGUGUGAAUUGCAAAAUCCCGUGAACCAUGGAGUUUUUGAACCCAAGUUGCGCCCGAAUUUUUUUAGACCGAGGGCACUUUUCCCUGGGCUUCC
rnacentral:rRNA from 1 species